rnacentral:rRNA from 1 species
GGAUAUAGCUGGUUUUCUGCGAAAUUUGUUUUAGCAAGUUGUUUAUUAUAGUUACUAGUAGGUAUAGCACUGAAUAUCUAAGAAUAAAGAAGGAAUAUUAAGAAUAUUUUUUAGGAUAUUUAAUCUCAGAAUGAUUAGUAAUAAGAGUAAAUAAUGGGACUUCUUGCGAUAAGGUGGGAAGUCUAAAGGGAAACAGCCCAG